UAUUUGAUCACGCCUUUUCAUUUCCUCAUCUACUCGUCGCAAUUCCCUUAACGCAGCUGCUACCUGUGAAUUAAACAUUUAUCAAACAGGCUCUAGUAUAAACACCUGGUCAAUCUGGACAGCGGAUCGAGCCCAUCGAGUUUGCAAC